rnacentral:rRNA from 1 species
GUCUUAACUGGGCGCCAUAGUCUCUGGAUAUAGACCCGAAACCGAGUGAUCUAGCCAUGGGCAGGUUGAAGGUUGAGUAACAUCAACUGGAGGACCGAACCGACUAAUGUUGAAAAAUUAGCGGAUGACUUGUGGCUAGGGGUGAAAGGCCAAUCAAACUCGGAGAUAGCUGGUUCUCCCCGAAAGCUAUUUAGGUAGCGCCUCGGACGAAUACUACUGGGGGUAGAGCACUGUUAAGGCUAGGGGGUCAUCCCGACUUACCAACCCUUUGCAAACUCCGAAUACCAGUAAGUACUAUCCGGGAGACACACGGCGGGUGCUAACGUCCGUCGUGGAGAGGGAAACAACCCAGACCGCCAGCUAAGGUCCCAAAUUACAGCUAAGUGGGAAACGAUGUGGGAAGGCUUAGACAGCUAGGAUGUUGGCUUAGAAGCAGCCAUCAUUUAAAGAAAGCGUAAUAGCUCACUAGUCGAGUCGGCCUGCGCGGAAGAUGUAACGGGGCUAAGUUGUAAACCGAAGCUGCGGCAAUGUUCUUUGAACAUUGGGUAGGGGAGCGUUCUGUAAGCCGUUGAAGGUGUGUUGUAAAGCAUGCUGGAGGUAUCAGAAGUGCGAAUGCUGACAUGAGUAACGACAAGGGGGGUGAAAAACCUCCCCGCCGGAAGACCAAGGGUUCCUGUCCAACGUUAAUCGGGGCAGGGUAAGUCGACCCCUAAGGCGAGGCCGAAAGGCGUAGUCGAUGGGAAACGGGUUAAUAUUCCCGUACUUCUUACAAUUGCGAUGGGGGGACGGAGAAGGCUAGGUGGGCCUGGCGACGGUUGUCCAGGUUCAAGUGCGUAGGCUGAGUGUUUAGGUAAAUCCGGACACUCUUAAGGCUGAGACACGACGUCGAGCUACUACGGUAGUGAAGUCAUUGAUGCCAUGCUUCCAGGAAAAGCCUCUAAGCUUCAGAUUGUAAGGAAUCGUACCCCAAACCGACACAGGUGGUCGGGUAGAGAAUACCAAGGCGCUUGAGAGAACUCGGGUGAAGGAACUAGGCAAAAUGGUACCGUAACUUCGGGAGAAGGUACGCUCUUGAUGGUGAAGUCCCUUGCGGAUGGAGCUGACGAGAGUCGCAGAUACCAGGUGGCUGCAACUGUUUAUUAAAAACACAGCACUGUGCAAAAUCGUAAGAUGACGUAUACGGUGUGACGCCUGCCCGGUGCCGGAAGGUUAAUUGAUGGGGUUAGCGUAAGCGAAGCUCUUGAUCGAAGCCCCGGUAAACGGCGGCCGUAACUAUAACGGUCCUAAGGUAGCGAAAUUCCUUGUCGGGUAAGUUCCGACCUGCACGAAUGGCGUAAUGAUGGCCACGCUGUCUCCACCCGAGACUCAGUGAAAUUGAAAUCGCUGUGAAGAUGCAGUGUACCCGCGGCUAGACGGAAAGACCCCGUGAACCUUUACUACAGCUUGGCACUGAACAUUGAACCUACAUGUGUAGGAUAGGUGGGAGGCUUUGAAGACGUGACGCCAGUUGCGUUGGAGCCGUCCUUGAAAUACCACCCUUGUAUGUUUGAUGUUCUAACGUUGGCCCCUAAUCGGGGUUGCGGACAGUGCCUGGUGGGUAGUUUGACUGGGGCGGUCUCCUCCCAAAGAGUAACGGAGGAGCACGAAGGUGGGCUAAUCACGGUUGGACAUCGUGAGGUUAGUGCAAUGGCAUAAGCCCGCUUAACUGCGAGAAUGACGGUUCGAGCAGGUGCGAAAGCAGGUCAUAGUGAUCCGGUGGUUCUGAAUGGAAGGGCCAUCGCUCAACGGAUAAAAGGUACUCCGGGGAUAACAGGCUGAUACCGCCCAAGAGUUCAUAUCGACGGCGGUGUUUGGCACCUCGAUGUCGGCUCAUCACAUCCUGGGGCUGAAGUCGGUCCCAAGGGUAUGGCUGUUCGCCAUUUAAAGUGGUACGCGAGCUGGGUUUAGAACGUCGUGAGACAGUUCGGUCCCUAUCUGCCGUGGGCGUUGGAAGAUUGAAGGGGGCUGCUCCUAGUACGAGAGGACCGGAGUGGACGAACCUCUGGUGUUCGGGUUGUGUCGCCAGACGCAUUGCCCGGUAGCUAAGUUCGGAAUCGAUAACCGCUGAAAGCAUCUAAGCGGGAAGCGAGCCCUGAGAUGAGUCUUCCCUGAUACUUUAAGUAUCCUGAAGGGUUGUUCGAGACUAGAACGUUGAUAGGCAGGGUGUGUAAGCGCUGUGAGGCGUUGAGCUAACCUGUACUAAUUGCCCGUGAGGCUUAACCAUACAACACCCAAAGGGUUUUG